rnacentral:rRNA from 1 species
GCAUAUCAAUAAGCGGCGGAAAAGAAACCAACAGGGAUUGCCUUAGUAACGGCGAGUGAAGCGGCAACAGCUCAAAUUUGAAAGCUGGCUCCUUCGGAGUCCGCGUUGUAAUUUGUAGAGGAUGAUUCGGCGAGGGCUCCCGCCUAAGUCCCCUGGAACGGGGCGUCAUAGAGGGUGAGAAUCCCGUAUGCGGUGGGUUGCCUUAGCCAUGUGAAUCUCCUUCGACGAGUCGAGUUGUUUGGGAAUGCAGCUCUAAAUGGGAGGUAAAUUUCUUCUAAAGCUAAAUACCGGCCAGAGACCGAUAGCGCACAAGUAGAGUGAUCGAAAGAUGAAAAGCACUUUGGAAAGAGAGUUAAAAAGUACGUGAAAUUGUUGAAAGGGAAGCGCUUGCAGCCAGACUUGUCCGCAGUUGCUCAACCGGUCUCCUGACCGGUGUACUCUUCUGCGGCCAGGCCAGCAUCAGUUCGGGCGGUCGGAUAAAGGCCCUGGGAAUGUAGCUCCUC